GGCGCACGGGUGCGUAACGCGUGGGAAUCUGCCCUCAGGUUCGGAAUAACAGCGAGAAAUUGCUGCUAAUACCGGAUGAUAUCGCGAGAUCAAAGAUUUAUCGCCUGAGGAUGAGCCCGCGUAGGAUUAGCUAGUUGGUGUGGUAAAGGCGCACCAAGGCGACGAUCCUUAGCUGGUCUGAGAGGAUGAUCAGCCACACUGGGACUGAGACACGGCCCAGACUCCUACGGGAGGCAGCAGUGGGGAAUAUUGGACAAUGGGCGAAAGCCUGAUCCAGCAAUGCCGCGUGAGUGAUGAAGGCCUUAGGGUUGUAAAGCUCUUUUACCCGGGAUGAUAAUGACAGUACCGGGAGAAUAAGCUCCGGCUAACUCCGUGCCAGCAGCCGCGGUAAUACGGAGGGAGCUAGCGUUAUUCGGAAUUACUGGGCGUAAAGCGCACGUAGGCGGCUUUGUAAGUUAGAGGUGAAAGCCUGGAGCUCAACUCCAGAAUUGCCUUUAAGACUGCAUCGCUUGAAUCCAGGAGAGGUGAGUGGAAUUCCGAGUGUAGAGGUG
rnacentral:rRNA from 1 species